AAGCUGUUUACAAUGGUUUCCCUACUCCGCCGAACCCUCCACCAGCGGACGGGGAUGUUUGUUUAUCGGUUAGACGGCGAUCGGGUUAUGGGGUGUUUAUAAAUAUAGAGACACGGUGAACUUGGUGACUGAACGUGACGACGCGCUGGUGACGAUGGUAGAACGUUGGGUGGGUCAGGGUGAUCGAUCGCCUCUAGGGUUCUCCGAGUGCCGUGGGUGUGGAUGGAGAGGCUUUGGUUGAGGCUUUUUUCGAGGAAGAAGGCCAUGGGCCACUGUGCGCAAGCACAAAGGGGUACUUCGUGCACCAAGACCAAUACUUCCACCGCGAUAUUACAAUGGGUUUCCCAGGGACCAAACGCGUCCAUCGAUGUCCUAAGGGUUUUAUGCUGUCCGUCUCUUUUGGUCAAAGGAACUUCAAUCCUUCGAAUGCAACGAAGCACGUAGCUCGUUGGAAACAUUUGUAUUCAUCACCAUUGGCAUCGUGGAAACGAAUGAUAGACGUGUUUGUGACUUAAUGUUAGUAGUUUUCCAGCCGCAGCCAAGGCUUGCGUUUAUGCAUAUGUCGACAGAAAAAAAACUAUAGCGAUAUGUAUGAACGGUUUUUUAUAGAAAAAUCUGAGAAUGUUAAUCGUCGCAUGGUUGGAGAAUUGAUAUUACGAAUGGCGGCACUGUAAUCGCUGCGAAUAAUAAAUAAUCGCUCCAACUCCUAUCGAGCCAGAGAUCGUCAAAGUGGUUCUUCGAUGUCGUUACCAUUGACGUCAGGUAGAUUUUUAAUAGCAGAUUUUGACGAUAAUACAAUAUUAAAUGGAGAGACUCCGUUCACUUCAUUGAAGAUAUAGGACAAUGCGUUACAACCACGUCACUUGAAUAACUUGUCUAUUUUAUCAGUCUUGCUGAGGGUCAAGAGGGAUGUAAUCUAUAGGUUCUACUAUAAGGCUCCGAGUCGCGUACAGUGACCUAUAGACAAAGGUCACUCCUAGCCGUUGACCUUGUUUUCUGUGGUUCGAGGGGGCUGGCGAAUGUCACCAUCAAGAUGAAUAAUAAAUAACAUGUUUUAUAAAUAAAUAAUAUGUAUAAUAUGUGUAACAAUAUAUAAAUAAAUAUUAAAUAAAUAAUACAUCUUGCAAUAAUUAUGGUUGAAUAAAAAAUGAAUAAAUUUUUCCUAUAUUUUUUUGCUUAUCUGUUAAUAGUGUUUUAAGAAGUGUACAGCAUUCUUUGGUUAAAGGUCAUCCAAGAUAAAUUACGACGAAAAUAUGUAAUUUACACAAAAAAGAACCGAUCGAAUGGUUUCGCAUCUACUCUGGUUGUUGGUUAUAUCACUGUUGUAAUCGUUACACGAAUCGUAGAAUGUAAACAAACAUUCAAUCACGUUGAGCGCUCUACAUUUAUCUGUAUCCAUGGAUACUAUUUUUAGUCCGUGGCAUGCUACCGAGGAAAGUGCACUUAUGUAAAAUCCAAACCAAUAAAAUGCGUUAUGCGAAACGGAGAAAGUUGGUAUGGGUUUUAAUUUAUAAUAAAUGUCGUCAAAGUAUUUGAUAAUGGUGUGAUAUUAUUACGAGCCGCUUUGGAGCAUUCGUCGGCAACCGUGAGUCAAACAGGAAUUCACAGUGUCAUAACAACUGACUCACCAAUCAAAUACAAUAUAACAAAGUUAUUCUGUUCCUUUACCUUUGUAUCGAUUAUCAAUGUUUGUCUCCAACACUACCAAAAAUAAUUUAAAAUUUGAUAUUCCAGCUUUCAUCGAUUUUAUUUUAGUAACUUUAAUUUUAAUAUUCCCAGAUUCUCUUCAGAAGAAACAGUUUCAUGUAACCCAUAAUAUCACUUCAGAAACAAUAAUAUUUCCUUGAUAUUCACGUUAUUAUUAUCUUCUUGAAACAAUAAUUUCCCCGCAACUUUUAUCUCAUCCCUCUUCUACAGACGAAAGAGACGUUUCGAACUCUUCAUUUUCGUUCCCCCUUUGUUCUCCAAUUGUCAUUCCAGCAUUCUGGGGCCGGAUCGUUGCUCGUGAUUCGUCGUUUCACAAAGGAACGGUGACUGCAAAGUUUCCACGAGUAUUCUUGAAACACGACCUGUUCCUAGUUGUUCCAUUGCUAAAACCAGCACGGCCAGAAUUUUAUCUGAGAUCCUCAAGGCGUACAGGUUUUAAAGAAAUGGAAACGAGAGAGAAGUCGUCGUGAAUAACGAGUGGCCGCUUUUUCCAAAAUUUUCCAUUCUCCUUUCCAGUGGCUCUCGAAGGACACCGAUUACACAACGACGAUAAAUGGGAGGGCGAACAAUUACGAUCGCAUUGGUUGGUAAACAGAAGCGUUUA